rnacentral:rRNA from 1 species
AUACUGCAGGUCUUGAGUCAUGGUGGGGUUGCCGGAACAUGUGGUGUAGCGGUGAAAUGCAUAGAUAUCACAUAGAACACCGAUCGCGAAGGCAGGUGACCAACCAUGUACUGACGCUGAUGGACGAAAGCGUGGGUAGCGAACGGGAUUAGAUACCCCGGUAGUCCACGCCGUAAACGAUGGAUACUAGCUGUGGGGACUUCGGUCUCCGUGGCCAAGCGAAAGUGAUAAGUAUCCCACCUGGGGAGUACGUUCGCAAGAAUGAAACUCAAAGGAAUUGACGGGGGCCCGCACAAGCGGUGGAGCAUGUGGUUUAAUUCGAUGAUACGCGAGGAACCUUACCAGGGCUUAAAUGCAGGCUGCAUGGGGUAGAGAUACCCCUUUCUUCGGACCGCCUGCAAGGUGCUGCAUGGUUGUCGUCAGCUCGUGCCGUGAGGUGUCAGGUUAAGUCCUAUAACGAGCGCAACCCCUACCGUUAGUUGCCAGCAUGUCAAGAUGGGGACUCUAACGGGACUGCCGGUGCAAACCGUGAGGAAGGUGGGGACGACGUCAAAUCAUCACGGCCCUUACGUCCUGGGCUACACACGUGCUACAAUGGCCGGUACAGAGGGAAGCCACCCCGCAAGGGGGCGCGGAUCUACAAAACCGGUCACAGUUCGGAUCGGGGUCUGCAACUCGACCCCGUGAAGCUGGAAUCGCUAGUAAUCGGAUAUCAGCCAUGAUCCGGUGAAUACGUUCCCGGGCCUUGUACACACCGCCCGUCAAGCCAUGGAAGCCGGGAGUGCCUGAAGUCCGUCACCGAG